rnacentral:rRNA from 1 species
AGCAGCCGCGGUAAUUCCAGCUCCAAUAGCGUAUAUUAAAGUUGUUGCAGUUAAAAAGCUCGUAGUUGAAUUUCGGGAUCAAUCUAUCGGUCGUGCAAUAGUACGUACUGAUUUUAUUGAUUCCUCCCUUCUGAUGAACUAUGAUGUCAUUAAUUUGGUGUCAUAGGGAAUCAGGACUGUUACUUUGAAAAAAUUAGAGUGUUUAAAGCAGGCUCACGCUUGAAUACAUUAGCAUGGAAUAACGAAAUAGGACGUUUGAUUCUAUUUUGUUGGUUUCUAGGAUCGGCGUAAUGAUUAAUAGGGAUAGUUGGGGGCAUUAGUAUUCAAUUGUCAGAGGUGAAAUUCUUGGAUUUAUUGAAGACUAACUACUGCGAAAGCAUUUGCCAAGGAUGUUUUCAUUAAUCAAGAACGAAAGUUAGGGGAUCGAAGACGAUCAGAUACCGUCGUAGUCUUAACCAUAAACUAUGCCGACUAGGGAUCGGAUGAUGUUAAUUUUUUAAUGACUCAUUC